UACGUAGGGGGCAAGCGUUGUCCGGAAUCAUUGGGCGUAAAGCGCGUGUAGGCGGCUCGAUAAGUCUGCUGUGAAAGUUCAGGGCUCAACCCUGAAAUGCCGGUGGAAACUGUCGAGCUAGAGUCCGGAAGAGGCGGGUGGAAUUCCUGGUGUAGCGGUGAAAUGCGCAGAUAUCAGGAGGAACACCAAUGGCGAAGGCAGCUCGCUGGGACGGUACUGACGCUGAGACGCGAAAGCGUGGGGAGCAAACAGG
rnacentral:rRNA from 1 species